rnacentral:lncRNA from 1 species
UGUAUAAACAGCAAAAUAAACAUAUAUUUAUUCCUCACAGUUCUAGAGGCUGGGAAGUCCAAGAUUAAGGUGCCAGGAGAUUCACUGUUUGGAUUUCGCCACGUCUCCCAGCCUGGUCGCGAAGGGGAACAGAGUGGGGAAAAAUGGAGAGACACCAAGAAUAAACGAAAUCUACGUGGACCCUUUGAUCUCCAAAACGGAAGCGGCCCUGCGUUAAGUUUGAAGAGCCCGGCGCUUCAGCUCCUGUGCUCGCCCUGCUCGCAUCGUGGUUGCUACUCUGUGCUGUGGCCGCAACAGACUCGGCUCGAAUCGGAGUCACUGCAGUGUCGCUUCUGGGGUGCAGGGCUCUUCUUUCCCGUUAGCCUCCAACCUCAGCCUGGGCUGCGCGGUUUACCUGUGACUAGAGAGGUUACAACUUUCCUGCGGCUUCAGAGCUCUCUGUACUGGCAGUAAUAGAAGGAACCCGUAACCUGCACGCGGGGGUCGCGUCAUCUUGAAAGGCUAGACUUUUGCCCCCUCUCUGAGCAAGUGCAAUACCCAAAAGCUGAGGGGCUCCCUCUCAGUCAGCCUCAUUGGAGUCUUUUUCUGAUGACAUGAUGUGGCCAUGCCUGUUUCUUUAGCUCAGAUGUUUCAAACAUCCUUAGGGUCUUUUCAGGCCAAAACAGAAAUGAACAAGAGAAGUUAAGAGUUCACACUCCAGCCGGGUGUUUUAAGUGAAACCUAAAGAAUAUAAUAAAAUCUAAACUCAACGACAUUCCCCAACCCCGAUUUUUAAUUUUGUUUUUACUUCUUUAUUUGCUCUCAGUAAAUGACUGAGGUGUAAUCCACACAGACCAAAGUGUGCUAAUCCUAACUUCAAGGGCCAGUGCAUUUUGACAAAGAAACUGUCACCCAGAUAAGUUACCGGACAUUUUCACCAGCCCAAAAAGUCAUUAGAGCCUCUUCCCAGUCAAUCCUCAGCCCAUCCCCACUUAGGCAGUCACCCUUCUGAUUUCUAUCUCUGUGAUUUGCUUUUGCUUCUCCUUGAAAUCAUGUAAAGGAGUGUACUGACUUUGCCCGUUUGGUUUUUUUUUUUUUAAUGCAACAGUGGUUAUGAGAUGCUUUUAUUAUAUGGCAUAAAUCUCAGGUUUUUGCUGUUAUUGAUGAAUGUAUUCUAACCUGUGAAUAUACCACGGUUAAUGGACACUUGGGCUGUUUCUAGUCUUGGCGAUUGUGAACAAGGUGUUUACAAAUAUUCCACUAUGGGCCUCUUUAUGGACCUGUGCCUUCAUUUCUGUUGCGUGUACGCCUAGUAAUGGAAUGGCUGGGUCAGGAAGUAGGUGUAGUUUUCACUGUAUUGGAAACUAUCAGGCAGUAUUUUAGAUUGGUUACACUAUUGUAGUCUCUUUUUCUUUCUCUUUUUGAGACAGUCUCACUCUGUUGGCCAGGCUGGAGUAUAAUGGCUUGAUCUCAGCUCACUGCAACCUCUGCCUCCUGGGUUCAAGCCAUUCUCCUACCUCAGCCUCCCAAAUAGCUGGAAUUAAGGCCUUCUUCCUCAGCAAUACUCAGGGUCUCAGUGCUCGGAUUUCUCUGUGCCAAUCAGCGGGAAAUGGAACACGAGCCAAUAGCGCUAAGGAUCCGGGUCUGUAACAGGGGCCUGUCAGGUGCAGGAUGCUGUUGGCUCCAGUGAUGUUUCUCAGAUGGGCUGAUUUUUAUGGACAUAGCCUCUGAAAGAAAUCAGUCAGGGAAAGAUUCAGAGACACUUACCUGCAUGUUAAUUCUUCAUUAAUACAGAAGGGAGAACUGGCAUUAGAUUGUUUUCAGCAAAUAAAAGUAAAAUGAAAAUUUAGAAAGAAAAGAGGAAUGGGGAGCAGAAAAAAUGUCUUGGACCAUUGUGAUUUUGCUCCUUUGGAUAAGUGAGUUGGCAGAAGCCUAUCAAAGAGGUCACUGUGACCUGUCUUCUCUGGACCCAUGUGACUUGGUCACCACAGGAAACAAUUAUAAGCUGGGCACAGUGACUCACAACUGUAAGUCUUACUGACACUUUGGGAGGCUGAGGCAGGUGGAUUGCUUGAGGUCAGUUGGAGAGCAGCCCAGGCAACAUAAUGAAACCCCGUCUCUACAAAAAGAUACAAAAGUUAGCCAGCCAGCAUUGGUGUAUGCUGGUAGUCCCAGCUACUCAGGAGGCUGAAGCGGGAGGAUCACCCAAGCCCGGGGAGGUUGAGACUGCAGUGAGCCAUGAUCAUGCUCCACUGUGACCGUGCCACUGCAUGGCUGCCUUGGCAACAGUGUGAGACAUUGUCUCAAAAAUCAAAUGAAAUGUCCUAGAAGUUUACCUGUCCAUCCUGUGCCACAGAAUAUCUGUGUAUAAAGUCCUCCAUAUCCUUCUGUUGUAUUGUCCCCUUAGUUAAGCUGUGAAGCUACCUAGCCCCUUAUUAGAAUAUCAUGGGCACAUGGCCGAGUGCGGUGGCUCACGCCUGAAAUCCCGGCACUUUGGGAGGCCAAGGCAGAUGGAUCUGUGUAGCCCAGGAGUUAGAGACCAACAUGGGCAACAAAGCAAGACCCUAUCUCUACAAAAAAAAAAAAAAAAAAAUCUGAAUGUGCUCGUGCAUGCCAGUAGAUCCAGCUACUGUGGAGGCUGAGGUGUGAGGAUCACUGGAGCCCAGGGGGUGGAGGCUGCCAUGAGCUGAGACCACGCCACUGCACCCCACACUGGGUGACACAGUGACACCUACUCUAAGAAAAGAUGGGGAGGGAGAAGAAAGUUUGUUGUGUCAGCAAGUAAAUGAAGAAAGCGACAGUAUUAGAGUUGAGAAAUAAAUUGGAAUAUCAUUUGGUACUUCUCCCACAGAAGAUGAAUCUGCUAACUUUGCUGAAGUUACAGGCGUUAUACAAGGCCCGAUGCAGUGGCUCGUGUCAGUAAAUCCUGGCACUUUGUGAGGCCUCAGAGCUGCUUGAGCCCAGUAGAAUCGCACAGACCAAAGUGUGCUCAUCUUAGCUUCGAUUAAGGUUAGGAGAGCAGCCUGUGCAACAUGGUGAAAUCCCUUCUCUACAAAACAUACAAAAACCAGCAGGGUAUGAUGGUUCAUGCCUGUAGUCCCGGAUACUGGGAAGGCUGAAAGGUGGGAGGAUCACUUCAGCCUGGGAAGUUGAGGCUGCAGUGAGAUGUAAUCAGGCCACUGCGCUCCAGCCUGAGAGACAGAAUGAGACCCUGUCACAAAAACUAAAAAUUAAAAUUAAAAGCCUGUAACAUGGCAGUGGCACAUCCAGUUCUCUACAUUACAGGAAUAUCAGUGGCCAAAGAGACGUGUGCAAGAACGAUCACUGUAGGAUUCUUUGAAAUCCUAAAACCAUGAAGCCAACCUCAUUUCCAACACAUUUUGAAAAGGGUUAAAUAAAUCAUGCAAAAACUGAGGGGGAAAUGCUGUUUUCAAAAACGAUGGAGAGGAUUAUGAUGAUGAUGAAUGAUUCCACUGGUCACAUUACGUAAAUCCAGGCACAUCCUGGGGAUAGGACACCUCUCUAAGCUUCCUGUUAAAAAUAAAAAAAAAAAUGGAGGCUGGUAUAGAACCCAUCCAAGCCUAUGAGGGGCAGUAUGAGGAUUUUAUCACACCAGAGGGACUCAUUUGGUCUCUGUUUCUUGUACACAGGCACAAGACAACCUGACAUUUUAGGAGAUGCUCUGUCAGAAUUGGCUCUGUGAGGGACCCUGUUAACUGUGACUAGAAUACUGAGAAGAGGAAACCCUCCCUGAAAUGGGCAUAUCCCUGGCUGGCCUGGAACCACCAAUCUUUCGGAGUUAGGACUAUGGGAAGAAACGGGAGAUUCUCUAGUGAUUGAUAAUAUAUG